rnacentral:rRNA from 1 species
AUUGAACGCUGGCGGCAGGCCUAACACAUGCAAGUCGAGCGGAGCGGCGGACGGGUGAGUAAUGCCUAGGAAUCUGCCUGGUAGUGGGGGAUAACGUCCGGAAACGGGCGCUAAUACCGCAUACUAUCAGAUGAGCCUAGGUCGGAUUAGCUAGGUGGGGGGGUAAAGGCCUAACAAGUCGACGAUCCGUAACUGUUCUGAGAGGAUAAUCAGUCACAAUGGAACUGAGACCAGGUCCAGAAUCCUACGGGAGGCAGCAGUGGGGAAGAUUGGACAAUGGGCGAGAGCCUGAUCUAGCCAUGCCGCGUGUGUGAAGAAGUUCUUCGGAUUGUAAAGCACUUUAAGUUGGGAGGCGUUACCAACAGAAUAAGCACCGGCUAACUUCGUGCCAGCCGCCGCGGUAAUUC